rnacentral:rRNA from 1 species
CCCUUAGAUGUCCUGGGCUGCACGCGCGCUACACUGAUGUGUCCAGUAAGCACCUAACCUCUUCCGAAAGGAACGGGUAACCUUUGCAAAGCACAUCGUGAUGGGGAUAGAUUAUUGCAAUUAUUAGUCAUGAACGAGGAAUUCCUAGUAAGCACAAGUCAUCAGCUUGUGUUGAUUACGUCCCUGCCCUUUGUACACACCGCCCGUCGCUCCUACCGAUUGAAUGUUCCGGUGAGCUCUUCGGACUGCGCGGUCUGCAGUUUCUGCGUUCCGUGCGGAAAGUUGCGCAAACCUUAACAUUUAGAGGAAGGAGAAGUCGUAACA